rnacentral:rRNA from 1 species
AGUAACGGCGAGUGAAGCGGUAACAGCUCAAAUUUGAAAUCUGGCUCCUGCGGAGUCCGAGUUGUAAUUUGUAGAAGAUGCUUUGGGAGGGAGGCUCGGCCUAAGUUCCUUGGAACAGGACAUCAGAGAGGGUGAGAAUCCCGUAUGUGGCCGUGGCCUCCGCCCGUGUAAAGCUCUUUCGACGAGUCGAGUUGUUUGGGAAUGCAGCUCAAAAUGGGUGGUAAAUUUCAUCUAAAGCUAAAUAUUGGCCAGAGACCGAUAGCGCACAAGUAGAGUGAUCGAAAGAUGAAAAGCACUUUGGAAAGAGAGUUAAACAGUACGUGAAAUUGUUGAAAGGGAAGCGCUUGCACCCAGACUUGGGCGUCGUCGAUCAUCCGAGGUUCUCCUCGGUGCACGCGGCGAGGCACAGGCCAGCAUCGGUUUGGAUGGUUGGAGAAAGGCUCUAGGAACGUAGCUCUCUUCGGGGAGUGUUAUAGCCUAGGGCGUAAUGCAGCCCAUCGGGACCGAGGACCGCGCCUUCGGGCUAGGAUGCUGGCGUAAUGGUUGCAAGCGACCCGUCUUGAAACACGGACCAAGGAGUCUAACAUCUAUGCGAGUGUUUGGGCGUUAAACCCAUACGCGGAAUGAAAGUGAACGUAGGUGAGAACCCAUCUGGGUGCAUCAUCGACCGAUCCUGAUUCUUCGGAUGGAUUUGAGU